rnacentral:rRNA from 1 species
CCUACGGGUGGCAGCAGUGGGGAAUAUUGCACAAUGGGGGAAACCCUGAUGCAGCGACGCCGCGUGAGUGAAGAAGUAAUUCGUUACGUAAAGCUCUAUCAGCAGGGAAGAAACACUGACCUUACGGUCAGCAGACGGUACCUGAGUAAGAAGCCCCGGCUAACUACGGGCCAGCAGCCGCGGUAAUACGUAGGGGGCAAGCGUUAUCCGGAUUUACUGGGUGUAAAGGGAGCGUAGACGGUGCGCCAAGUCUGGAGGGAAAUGCCGCAGCUUAACUGCGGAACUGGCUUGGAAACUGGCGAACUAGAGUGCGUGAGGGGUAAGCGGAAUUCCUAGUGUAGCGGUGAAAUGCGUAGAUAUUAGGAGGAACACCGGUGGCGAAGGCGGCUUACUGGACCGUAACUGACGUUGAGGCUCGAAAGCGUGGGGAGCAAACAGGAUUAGAUACCCCUGUAGUC